AAGACUAUAGACCUGCGGAGUACCUGCGGAGGGAUCAUUACCGAGUUUACAACUCCCAAACCCCUGUGAACAUACCACUUGUUGCCUCGGCGGAUCAGCCCGCUCCCGGUAAAACGGGACGGCCCGCCAGAGGACCCCUAAACUCUGUUUCUAUAUGUAACUUCUGAGUAAAACCAUAAAUAAAUCAAAACUUUCAGCAACGGAUCUCU
rnacentral:misc_RNA from 1 species